AAUAGAACUGUUGAAUUCAACCAGGUAGAUAAAUGAGAAAAUAUCUUUUGUCUGCAGAAGGCAGCGAUUUGACAUUAACAUGGAGGUCUCUGACUUGGACAGCUGGCUAAAACUGAUUGUUUCCCUCCAUACAAU
ensembl:scaRNA